rnacentral:lncRNA from 1 species
UUAAUUUGAGCCUCCCGAGUAAAUCAUCCUUUUUUGCUUUGUUCUGAAUAUUAUUAGGAAUAGUGUGUGUCUGUGACUGUGUUGACAUACAGUUCCUGUCGCUUUGCCAGUGAGGAUUCGUGCACUUCGGUGUAGAGAACCCUUUCUUUCCCUUGCUGUUUGUAAUGGAUGGAAGCUGUCACAUCUCUCUAAGCCUCGAACUCCUGGCCUGAUACUCAGUUGUCCGUCUGUCUUCAGAAAGUGAAGGCUGUGUAUGGAAGCUUGGGAUCAAACCCAUAUUGGAAAUUCUCCAUUUAAUCUGCUGGACAGACACAGUCAGAACCUAUGUUAAUCUUUCAAGCUGUUGCAGCCUGUGCUGUUCUCAACCCAGAAUCACCACUGGCAGUAUU